GUCCUUCAGCCACAACCAAUCAGAGAGCAGCACUACUGAAAUAGAACUCCCAGGAGGAGCAGCGUGUCACACAUGUGAUGUCAUAACCAUUGUCCACCAGAGAGCAGCACUGAGCAGAAAUAACACGGCUCCUGCUCAUUCUUCAUCAGUGAGGGGCUGAUGUUGGACACUGUAGGGACCCUGGAAUAUAGGUGUAUACACAUGACUGAUGCAGUAUUUCCAGGAUGUGGAGUCGCAUUUCCGGACUUACAGUAAGAUGACUGUAUUUCCAGGAUGUGGAGUCGCAUUUCCGGACUUACAGCAAGAAGUUGGAUGAAGGCCCAGCCCCAGGAAUCACGCACAUACACAGACACAUUUGCCCAAAUUCUAGAGGUAA